rnacentral:rRNA from 1 species
AUACGUAGGUGACAAGCGUUAUCCGGAUUUACUGGGCGUAAAGGGCGUGUAGGCGGUCUUGCAAGUCAGAAGUGAAAUUCCUGAGCUCAACUCGGGCGCUGCUUCUGAAACUGCAGGACUUGAGUGCUGGAGGGGAUAGCGGAAUUCCUAGUGGAGCGGUAAAAUGCGCAGAUAUUAUGAAGAACACCGGUGGCGAAGGCGGCUAUCUGGACAGUAACUGACGCUGAGGCGCGAAAGCGUGGGGAGCAAACAGGAUUAGAUACCCUGGUAGUCCACGCUGUAAACGAUGAUCACUAGGUGUGGGGUGACUGACCCCUUCCGUGCCGCAGUUAACACAAUAAGUGAUCCACCUGGGGAGUACGGCCGCAAGGUUGAAACUCAAAUGAAGUGACGGGG